rnacentral:misc_RNA from 1 species
GUAUUAAUUCCUAGCCCUGCGGCAUAAGAAAACAUCCAUUAUUUUAAACAAGAGUUUGUAAAUUUUCAAAGGCAGGCUUUACCCUGCCUUCAAAAAAUCAAGUGCACAAGUGUAAGCAGAUUAAGGAGAGCGAGCACAUGCAAUCAUAGACUGCCAGCAUCAACCCUCUGUAAAUUCGAUAAUGAUCCUUCCGCAGGUUCACCUACGGAAA